rnacentral:misc_RNA from 1 species
CGCACCUUGCACCCUUUGGUAUUCCGAAGGGUAUGCCUGUUUGAGUGUCAUUUAAUUCUCAAUCUUAACAAGUUGUAAUGACGAGUUGAGUAUUGGAUUUGGAUUUGCUGGCUUUCAUAGUCGGCUUUUCUUAAAAGCAUUAGUGGUUUAUCGAUCCCCAUUAAUUGGUGUGAUAGUAAUAUCGUCAUCAGAAUGGCUAGGUCAUGUAAUGAUAACUGCUCUCUAACCGUUCGUAAGAACAAUUUGAACCAUUUGACCUCAAAUCAGGUAGGACUACCCGCUGAACUUAA